rnacentral:rRNA from 1 species
UGGGGAAUCUUGCGCAAUGGGCGAAAGCCUGACGCAGCGACGCCGCGUGGGGGAUGAAGCUUCUCGGAGUGUAAACCCCUUUCGACCCGGACGAAACUCCCGCAAGGGAUUGACGGUACGGGUAUAAGAAGCCCCGGCUAACUACGUGCCAGCAGCCGCGGUAAGACGUAGGGGGCCAGCGUUGCUCGGAAUUACUGGGCGUAAAGGGUUCGUAGGCGGUGUGGCAAGUCGGAAGUGAAAUCUCUAGGCUCAACCUAGAGGCUGCUCCCGAAACUGCCAUGCUAGAGUGCAGGAGAGGCGAGUGGAAUUACAGGUGUAGCGGUGAAAUGCGUAGAUAUCUGUAGGAACACCCGUGGCGAAGGCGGCUCGCUGGACCGCAACUGACGCUGAGGAACGAAAGCUAGGGGAGCAAACAGGAUUAGAUACCCCCGUAGUCC